rnacentral:rRNA from 1 species
AUUGAACGCUGGCGGCAGGCCUAACACAUGCAAGUCGAACGAGUGGCGGACGGGUGAGUAAUGUCUGGGAAACUGCCCGAUGGAGGGGGAUAACUACUGGAAACGGUAGCUAAUACCGCAUAACGCGGGAUGUGCCCAGAUGGGAUUAGCUAGUAGUUGGGGUAACGGCUCACCUAGGCGACGAUCCCUAGCUGGGCUGAGAGGAUGACCAGCCACACUGGAACUGAGACACGGUCCAGACUCCUACGGGAGGCAGCAGUGGGGAAUAUUGCACAAUGGGCGCAAGCCUGAUGCAGCCAUGCCGCGUGUAUGAAGAAGGCCUUCGGGUUGUAAAGUACUUUCAGCGAGGAGGCGUUACUCGCAGAAGAAGCACCGGCUAACUCCGUGCCAGCCGCCGCGGUAAUAC